rnacentral:lncRNA from 1 species
AUAACAGAGGCUUGCGAUGGCAGUGAUGAUAUUUUUGGGUUGAGUACUGAUAGUCUGUCUCGUUUACGAAGCCCAUCUGUUUUGGAAGUUAGAGAAAAGGGCUAUGAACGAUUAAAAGAAGAACUCGCAAAAGCUCAGAGGGAACUGAAGUUAAAAGAUGAAGAAUGUGAGAGGCUUUCAAAAGUGCGAGAUCAACUUGGACAGGAAUUGGAAGAACUCACAGCUAGUCUAUUUGAGGUUGGUCUAUUUACAUCUUGGCCAACAGCAACAUCUUGACUUUUAUAUAUUGACAAAAUUGUAUUUUGAGGGAAUCUUGAAAAAUAUUUGCUUAGCUUCAUGUAUAUUUAUAAGUCCUCUAAGCAAAAGAGAAAUCUUUAAGCAAUGUAGAGUUUACAACUUAAGAUGAUGUGAAAAGAAAUAAAAAACAUCUAUGGGCCA